UGGGGAAUCUUGCACAAUGGGGGAAACCCUGAUGCAGCGACGCCGCGUGAGCGAUGAAGGUUUUCGAAUCGUAAAGCUCUGUCCUAUGGGAAGAUAAUGACGGUACCAUAGGAGGAAGCCCCGGCUAACUACGUGCCAGCAGCCGCGGUAAUACGUAGGGGGCGAGCGUUGUCCGGAAUUACUGGGCGUAAAGGGUUCGCAGGCGGCAUGACAAGUCCGAUGUAAAAGGCGAAAGCUCAACUUUCGUAAGCAUCGGAAACUGUCAAGCUUGAGUGAAGGAGUGGCAAGUGGAAUUCCUAGUGUAGCGGUGGAAUGCGUAGAUAUUAGGAGGAAUACCGGUGGCGAAGGCGACUUGCUGGACUUCAACUGACGCUGAGGAACGAAAGCGUGGGUAGCAAACAGG
rnacentral:rRNA from 1 species